AACGAACGCUGGCGGCAGGCUUCAUACAUGCAAGUCGAACGGCCCGCAAGGGCAGUGGCGCACGGGUGCGUAACACGUGGGAAUAUGCCCUUCAGUACGGAACAACGUCGGGAAACUAACGCUAAUACCGUAUAAUGUCUCCGGACCAAAGAUUUAUCGCUGAAGGAUUAGCCCGCGUCUGAUUAGGUAGUUGGAGAGGUAAUGGCUCACCAAGCCGACGAUCAGUAGCUGGUCUGAGAGGAUGAUCAGCCACACUGGGACUGAGACACGGCCCAGACUCCUACGGGAGGCAGCAGUAAGGGAUAUUGGACAAUGGGGGAAACCCUGAUCCAGCCAUGCCGCGUGAGUGAAGAAGGCCUUCGGGUUGUAAAGCUCUUUUACCCCUGACGAUAAUGACGGUAAGGGAAGAAAAAGCCACGGCUAACUUCGUGCCAGCCGCCGCAGUAA
rnacentral:rRNA from 1 species